ACGUCGUGAGACAGUUCGGUCCCUAUCCGUCGCGGGCGUAGGAAAUUUGAGAGGAGCUGUCCUUAGUACGAGAGGACCGGGAUGGACGAACCUCUGGUGCACCAGUUGUCACGCCAGUGGCACAGCUGGGUAGCCAUGUUCGGAAGGGAUAAGCGCUGAAGGCAUCUAAGCGCGAAGCCCACCUCAAGAUGAGAUUUCCCAUAGCGUAAGCUAGUAAGACCCCUGGAAGAACACCAGGUUGAUAGGCCAGAGGUGUAAGCGUCGUGAGGCGUUUAGCUGACUGGUACUAAUAGGUCGAGGGCUUGAUCA
rnacentral:rRNA from 1 species